UCAAAUUCAAAACCAAAACCAAAACCAAAACCAAAACACUAAUAAUAAUAAUAAUAAUAAUAAUCCUCUACAGCCACAACCACAACCACAGCAAAACCUACAACAUCAACCACCAGUUUACAACAUCAACAAAAACGAUUUCAGAGACGUAGUUCAAAAACUAACGGGUUCACCUGCACACGACCGUAUCUCACCACCACCACCUAUUCAACAACCUAAACCACAAAGCUCUCGUCUUCAGCGAAUUCGUCCACCUCCGUUACCUCACAUCACUAACCGUCCACCUCCGUUACUUAACACCGCUAUACCCCGUCGUCCACAACACCAGAACUUCAACUUUAACCCCGUUAACUUUAAUCAUAACUUUCCUGGUUUUGGUAGACCUCUGGCGCCGUUAUCUCCGUUGCCGCCGUUUCCUACCGUUCACGCUCCGGCGGAAUCUCCAAUCUCCGCUUACAUGCGCGAUCUGCAGAAUCUCGUUUCCACCAUGGAUUCGAAAGGCUUCACCGGUUUUUCUCCUUUGCCUCCUCCGAUUUCAUCGCCUCACCCUCCACCGGAACAACAGCAACAACAGCAACAACAACAUCAACAACAACAGCAGCCGCAACAUCAACAGCAGCAUCAACAUCAACAACAACAACCACCGCCGCAGCAGCAAGGCUUUAAUCCUGCACAAAUGUCAGUACAAACUCCGUCGCCGUUUCCGAUGCCGUCAUCACCAACACCUUUUGGAUGUUUGAAUUCGCAGCUUUCAUCUUACCCUUUGUUGUCACCUGGUUUAUUGUUUUCCCCCAAUUCGGCUAAUUUAGGGUUUCCUCAACUUCCUCUUUCACCAACCGUGCAGGUUCCAAGUCCACGAUGGAGAGAGCUUUGACUUCAAUUGAGGUAAGAUUGGUCUGAAUCGUGGUUUUUCGGCUCUGAUUUUGGGAUGUACAUGGUGGUGGAUGUGGUGAUUUGGAAAAUGGAAUUCGAAUUUAUUCAAUUUGUGGUGGUUGGACUCAAAAACUAACUAGUCCAAUUUGCUACUUAGUACUAGUUUAUUUUAUUCUGUAAAAAUGGGAUAUCAAAGACAGAUGAAAGGAACAAUUUUGCAUUUGUUUUUUGCUCUUUUCGGAUAAUUUGGGGGAUUAGAAAAACACAAAUUAGAUGUUAUUAUUAUACAACAUUUAUAGUGGGAUUAUCAUGCUGUUUUUAAUAUAAAAAAAACUAUUAUUGUCAAAAUAAUGUAUCCUUGCCCAAGGAUAUGAUUUUGUGAGCGAAUGUGAUUUGAGAAAAAUCUAAUUUAAUUAGUUAAUAAAUUAGCAGAUAAGAUCAAAUUAAAUUUUAUAGUAUAAAAAGAUAUUACUAUAUCUAACAGAAUAAAAGAAAAAUAAAUAAAAAAUAGGGAUGCAAUGGGUUUCCUUCUUUUGCGAUUGUUGUCUAUUGUGUUAUUUUCAGCAUAGACUAUAUAGUAGGAAACAGUAUAAAAAGAAGUGAAAAGAGGUGCAUGAAAAAGAACACACCAUGAGUAUAUAGAUUAAUUUAUAAAUAUUAUUUAUUUUUGAAUUUUUGUCAUCAGCGUCACUUAAUUAUUUUUUUGAGAUAGUGACCAUUGCCCACUUCAACUUCAUAUUUAAACCCUUGAAAAAAUAAUGAACAAUAAUAUAUUAUUAUAUAUAAUCUUCUGUGUGUGUCCCUACUCGGCGCUGAGAUAAGAGUAACCCACCACCACCACAAAACAUAGCUCUUCUCAAUAAGAGAGAGAGAGAGAGAGAGAGAUUUUGUAUUGCAACAAACAAUAUUGUAGUAGUGAUGGAUAAAAGCUGUCAAUCCUCUGCAGACUCUACUAAUAAUUCCUCUUCCAGAGACCACUACCUCAGACACCUCAAUAAGCUUUCUCAAAAAAUCACCAAACCCAUCAUUAAAAAACCCUCUUUUGACCCUCCACCACUACCACCACCACCACCGCCACCACAACCUCAAAAUCAGAAUCAAAAUCAAAUUCAAAACCAAAACCAAAACCAAAACCAAAACACUAAUAAUAAUAAUAAUAAUAAUAAUCCUCUACAGCCACAACCACAACCACAGCAAAACCUACAACAUCAACCACCAGUUUACAACAUCAACAAAAACGAUUUCAGAGACGUAGUUCAAAAACUAACGGGUUCACCUGCACACGACCGUAUCUCAACACCACCACCUAUUCAACAACCUAAACCACAAAGCUCUCGUCUUCAGCGAAUUCGUCCACCUCCGUUACCUCACAUCACUAACCGUCCACCUCCGUUACUUAACACCGCUAUACCCCGUCGUCCACAACACCAGAACUUCAACUUUAACCCCGUUAACUUUAAUCAUAACUUUCCUGGUUUUGGUAGAC
rnacentral:lncRNA from 1 species